AAACGACUCUCGGCAACGGAUAUCUCGGCUCUCGCAUCGAUGAAGAACGUAGCGAAAUGCGAUACUUGGUGUGAAUUGCAGAAUCCCGUGAACCAUCGAGUCUUUGAACGCAAGUUGCGCCCCAAGUCAUUAGGCCGAGGGCACGUCUGCCUGGGUGUCACGC
rnacentral:rRNA from 1 species